CAGGAUCGACCUCGACUCCUCUUAUCCGCUCACAAGCCUCGGCAGCUUGCUGGACAGCACUCCAUAAGUGCACUGAUUCGAACUUAACAGUAUGAGUUAUCUCAAACCGGUCAGACAACUUGAUCAAGUCCACCGGAUGCCCUUCUUCUGCUUGGGACUUUGCCAUCAUGUCAUCAACAUGGCAUUCGCUUUCACGAUGAAUCAU
rnacentral:lncRNA from 1 species